rnacentral:lncRNA from 1 species
UUUCUCUCAUUCAAAAAUAAUUUUCAUCUUAAAAAUGGCUCGUCUUCAGUUGCUACUUGAACUUUGGUUGCCUCAAAUGAAGAUGAAACAGUAUCUGUGACUAAUGUCAUCAUGUAAAACUGAACUAAAAUGGAAAUAUCUUUUUAAUCUCUUUCUCAUGUUGAAUAUGCUUCUCUUCAUUGUUGUACAACAUUGGCAUUUUUAAACUAUUGGUGUAAAAGAUCUAUAGUUCUUUACCUCCCCCCAACAGCAAGUAAAGUACCCUCAUUGUUAAAUGUCAGUGCUAAUUGUUGGCCAACAUCUUCUAAUAUCUCAAGAACUUUCUGAGAUGAUUUCGGGCUCAAAGGAAGCUCAUCUUUGCUCAUGGUUGCAUCCCAGUCAAACCAUCUGCACUUAAUCAUGUAAUUCGUGAGAAUAUAAAUGAAGCUUCAUUAUAGCUAUCUGUGCUAAAAUAUAAUUUUUUCAAGAUGCUUUGUUAUGCCAUACGGCAAAUAGUAACAUUUUUUUUUCUGCACUAAGCAUUUAAUGGGAAAAGUAUAGUUCAACAAAUUCAUUCAUAAGAGCAUUUUUAAUUAAACUCAACCUUCAAUUCCAACACAAGAAGGAUGACUUUCAGGUCCCACAAUAAUGUAGUACCGACGUACUCGGUCACAAUUGAGAUGACACAGCCACCACCAAACCAAAAAACAUAAAGCAAAUAGGUAAAAUGAAAGAUCUUGAGUAUAUUUGAAAAAUAUAUCUUCAAGAUAAAACUUCAUUAAUGUCAAACUGUAAUUUCAUGGAAAUCCCGUGCAAAUAUGGCUGCAUUUGGUCGUUGUGGAAGUUGAAUGGGAAGUUUAUCCUAGAAAAUUGAUGAAAUAAAAGUUUUAGAAUUUUUAAAAAUAAAAUAAAGUAUGGUCUAAUAUUUGGAUACCAAAAGUUUUCCCAAAAGAAAGCAGAUCACUAUGCAAUCAUUAAUAAAUAAUAUUUCAAUUAGAAAACGAAGCAAAUUACACCCAUGGUAGUUAUCUUGCGCUCUAACCGUUCGAGGACAGGGGAAGCGAUUCUGAUCUGAGCUCUAAG